CGGGCCAAAGAGGGGGACCUUCGGGCCUCUCGCGUCAAGAUAUGCCUAGGUGGGAUUAGCUAGUUGGUGAGGUAAUGGCUCACCAAGGCGACGAUCCCUAGCUGGUCUGAGAGGAUGAUCAGCCACACUGGAACUGAGACACGGUCCAGACUCCUACGGGAGGCAGCAGUGGGGAAUAUUGCACAAUGGGCGAAAGCCUGAUGCAGCCAUGCCGCGUGUAUGAAGAAGGCCUUCGGGUUGUAAAGUACUUUCAGUUGUGAGGAAGGGGGUGUCGUUAAUAGCGGCAUCUCUUGACGUUAGCAACAGAAGAAGCACCGGCUAACUCCGUGCCAGCAGCCGCGGUAAUACGGAGGGUGCGAGCGUUAAUCGGAAUUACUGGGCGUAAAGCGCAUGCAGGUGGUUCAUUAAGUCAGAUGUGAAAGCCC
rnacentral:rRNA from 1 species